GCGACUGCGGAGGACAUUACCGAGUGCGGGUCCUUUGGGCCCAACCUCCCAUCCGUGUCUAUUGUACCCUGUUGCUUCGGCGGGCCCGCCGCUUGUCGGCCGCCGGGGGGGCGCCUCUGCCCCCCGGGCCCGUGCCCGCCGGAGACCCCAACACGAACACUGUCUGAAAGCGUGCAGUCUGAGUUGAUUGAAUGCAAUCAGUUAAAACUUUCAACAAUGGAUCUCUUGGUUCCGGCAUCGAUGAAGAACGCAGCGAAAUGCGAUAACUAAUGUGAAUUGCAGAAUUCAGUGAAUCAUCGAGUCUUUGAACGCACAUUGCGCCCCCUGGUAUUCCGGGGGGCAUGCCUGUCCGAGCGUCAUUGCUGCCCUCAAGCCCGGCUUGUGUGUUGGGUCGCCGUCCCCCUCUCCGGGGGGACGGGCCCGAAAGGCAGCGGCGGCACCGCGUCCGAUCCUCGAGCGUAUGGGGCUUUGUCCCAUGCUCUGUAGGAUUGGCCGGCGCCUGCCGACGUUUUCCAACCACUCUUUCCAGGUUGACCUCCGAUGGGG
rnacentral:rRNA from 1 species